rnacentral:rRNA from 1 species
UACGUAGGGUGCGAGCGUUAAUCGGAAUUACUGGGCGUAAAGCGUGCGCAGGCGGUUCGUUGUGUCUGAUGUGAAAGCCCCGGGCUUAACCUGGGAAUGGCAUUGGAAACUGGCGAGCUUGAGUGUGGCAGAGGGGGGUGGAAUUCCGCGUGUAGCAGUGAAAUGCGUAGAGAUGCGGAGGAACACCGAUGGCGAAGGCAGCCCCCUGGGCUGACACUGACGCUCAGGCACGAAAGCGUGGGGAGCAAACAGG